CCUACGGGGGGCAGCAGUAGGGAAUCUUCCGCAAUGGACGCAAGUCUGACGGAGCAACGCCGCGUGAGUGAAGAAGGUUUUCGGAUCGUAAAACUCUGUUGUUAGAGAAGAACAAGUGCUAGAGUAACUGUUAGCGCCUUGACGGUAUCUAACCAGAAAGCCACGGCUAACUACGUGCCAGCAGCCGCGGUAAUACGUAGGUGGCAAGCGUUGUCCGGAUUUAUUGGGCGUAAAGCGAGCGCAGGCGGUUCCUUAAGUCUGAUGUGAAAGCCCCCGGCUCAACCGGGGAGGGUCAUUGGAAACUGGGGAACUUGAGUGCAGAAGAGGAGAGUGGAAUUCCAUGUGUAGCGGUGAAAUGCGUAGAUAUAUGGAGGAACACCAGUGGCGAAGGCGACUCUCUGGUCUGUAACUGACGCUGAGGCUCGAAAGCGUGGGUAGCAAACAGGAUUAGAUACCCGGGUAGU
rnacentral:rRNA from 1 species